CUAUUCUAGGGAAGCAUCGAUCCAGCGUUCAAGCUUGGUCGCCCUAUCGAUCGUAAUGAUCGUAAUCUGAACGCUGAGUAGCUAAUGGCGAAACCGGCCUGCGGGUCG
rnacentral:ncRNA from 1 species